UACGUAGGUCCCGAGCGUUGUCCGGAUUUAUUGGGCGUAAAGCGAGCGCAGGUGGUUUAUUAAGUCUGGUGUAAAAGGCAGUGGCUCAACCAUUGUAUGCAUUGGAAACUGGUAGACUUGAGUGCAGGAGAGGAGAGUGGAAUUCCAUGUGUAGCGGUGAAAUGCGUAGGUAUAUGGGGGAACACCGGUGGCGAAAGCGGCUCUCUGGCCUGUAACUGACACUGAGGCUCGAAAGCGUGGGGAGCAAACAGG
rnacentral:rRNA from 1 species